rnacentral:rRNA from 1 species
CAAACGGGUGCGGAACACGUACGCAACCUACCCAUAACUGGAGGAUAGCCCAGGGAAACUUGGAUUAAUACUCCGUAACAUAUUGAAAAGGCAUCUUUUUAAUAUUAUAGCUCCGGCGGUUAUGGAUGGGCGUGCGCCUGAUUAGGUAGUUGGCGGGGUAACGGCCCACCAAGCCUGCGAUCAGUAACUGGUGUGAGAGCACGACCAGUCACACGGGCACUGAGACACGGGCCCG